CUACAAUCCCCAGUCUACCAUCACAGGGUUACCUCUAUCUCCCUCUGUCUCUCUCCCCCUGACCAGACCAACCUACAAUCCCCAGUCUACCAUCACAGCGCAGGGUGGAAGCAUUGUAAUUGCCUCAGAUCAACUCCAUAGGAGGUGACAUCAACAUGUCGUCUCUGAACAAAGGACCGUUCGUCCGAGAGCGACAUUGUUCGCCGCGUGACCCCAGACCUCCAGCAUCCAUCUAUUCAGGGAGGCAGGAACAUCAGAAAUCAAGUCGGAGGACAAAAAAUGCAACAUCUAUCCAAAUGCAAAAAUGACUGGACAAGUACUGGAUAGUUUCAGGACAAGUUUCUAAAUGUCCUUGAGUGGCCCAGCCAAAGCCCCGACUUGAACCGAUCGAACAUCUCUGGAGAGACCCGAGCUAUCGGCAUAUUCAACACUGUUCAUGAAAUAUGUUACCUUCAACAGUGUUAUCCUGUGAUCAAGCCAUCAAUGUUUAGUAAUUAUUGGUGUCGUAAAAAUGUUAGCUAACAAGUUAGCAAUUAGCAUGUUAGUAGUAUUUCCAAUGAAAUGUCAAUCAGCUUUUUGAUAAGCAGUUUAGCUAAAAAAUACAUCCCGCAUUAUUACUAAGGGCUCCCAAGUGGCGCAGCGGUC